CCUACGGGGCGCAGCAGUAGGGAAUCUUCCACAAUGGGCGAAAGCCUGAUGGAGCAACGCCGCGUGGGUGAAGAAGGUCUUCGGAUCGUAAAACCCUGUUGUUAGAGAAGAAAGUGCGUGAGAGUAACUGUUCACGUUUCUACGGUAUCUAACCAGAAAGCCACGGCUAACUACGUGCCAGCAGCCGCGGGAAUACGGAGGUGGCAAGCGUUAUCCGGAUUUAUUGGGCGUAAAGGGAACGCAGGCGGGCUUUUAAG
rnacentral:rRNA from 1 species